UUCUCGUCGCCGCGUGUAGUUCGCGUAAUUGCGAGCGUUCCAGCAAGUCUAAAGCGUUUUAGAGGCUUUGUAUUGUUGUUCUCACCUGGUGCUGUCGUUCUUGCAACCCGUCUGAUAUUGCAACUGUCUGUAAGUGGAAGCGUUUCUUCUAACCGCGAGCAGACCAGUCGGUCUCGUUUGACAUGUCAAAGAGUGAAGACGCUGCCUUGCAUGUGAAGCCAAAUCGUUCUUCGCCUUCAGGAUUCUUGCCGUUUCAGGGAUCUGCACAACGACAGGGAGAUAGAACGCCAAGUGAAGUCGACUGUACUUUGUGCAGACGGUUCAGCGUGUAUGACGCAGCGGCCUCCAGCAAGAGAAACUCAAGCACCGUGUUCAAAUGCGGUGGGGACUCUUGCUCGCCAUGACAACGCUUAGAAGUGCUCUUUCGGAAGGACAAGUUGGACCGGAAAUGAGGACCUAGGUGUGCUCUUUUGCGCUGUUGUUCACCGUUCGAUCAUUACCAGUUUUUGUGCCCCCGUGAGUUCAACGCUCAGGUAUGUUGAUGAUAAAUGGAUAUGCGUUAAAAGGUACGUACUCCGGAGUGGUGAAUUGUUCAGGCGAAGUGAUUUGUUGCUGCUAUCUCCUGUUUCGUGAGGGUUCUUGUCGGUACUCAUAUACCGCAGGCAUGAGGGGCUUUCUUUGCAGAACAUUUCAGUAAACCAAGACUGCAGCAUUUUCAAGAUUGCCAUAACCAGCAUCAAUGCAGCUCUCAUGUCAACAUCAGCAUCAAGGCAGCUCUGAUGUUAACAUCAUCAUCAGAGCAGCUGUGAUGUUAACAUCAGAUCUGAUGUGAUUUGGGACACUGUCUUGAUGCUAACAUCAGCUGGUGUUAACAUUAGCAUCAGAGCAGCUCUGAUGUUAGCAUCAAGACAGUAGGGACAAUAGGGAUGCUUCUCCUUGACCAUGUUUUUUUUUUUUUUGCUUAUUGACGUUUUUGUGAAGGAACGCUGAAUAUGCGCACACCAUUGACUGUCAGCUCUAGUCCCGGUCAGCUGUCAUUUUUUACAGUUUUCGUUGUAGUAAUUGCUAGUCAUUUGCACCAAAGGCGCUGGAUGUGAACUAUUUUCUCUUUCCUGGACUUGCGUUUCUCCCAGUCGUUGGCUUUGUCAUUUUUUCAUAAUUUAAAUUUUCUCUUGGUAACUCUUGAGUUUCGUAAUCCCUACGCUGUGCAUUUUACCAUUUUUGAUAAAGCUCAUUCCACAUACCGUGCACAGACUAUUUUGUGCUGACGUGCAGCAAUUGUUCCGUUACGUCUAACGUUACAUGCCAUUCAUUUUUGUGUCUGGGCAGUACUGAAGCGUGAGCAGAUAGGCAGACUGCCUAUUACUGCAUAACUUCGUUUUCUUUGAGACACCACCACUUGUGCAGGCAGACCGCCUCUUGCUGUAUACUUUUUCUUUCUUUUAGACAGCGUUUUCUUAGAAACCGUUGACGUGCGAGUGGUUACGCAGGCAGGCUGCAUAUUACUGUAUACCAUUUCCCCCCAUGCAGCAAUUUUACCGUUACGUCUAAUAUUAAUGCUACAAGCCGUUCAUUUCUUCCAGGGCCAUUACCGAAGUGCAAGUGGUUAGGCAGACUGCCUACUACUGGAUACCUUUUUUUGUUUCCUUUCAGAGACCACCUCUUACUGUGUACGUCCCCCCCCCCCCCCCCCUUUGAGACACCAUUGAAGGGCCAGUGGUUACGCAGGCAGGCUGGAUAUUACGACACAAUUGGCAUGCAUUGGGUGAUGCAGGCAGACUGCUUAGUGUGCACCACUCGUCGUUUAGUCUAUUGAGGUGCUACAAGUGUUGUGUCAGUCUAUUUCCUCUCCGAAAAUAAAAUGUUGGGCUCUACA